CCUACGGGUGGCAGCAGUGGGGGAUAUUGCACAAUGGGGGGAACCCUGAUGCAGCGACGCCGCGUGGGUGAAGGAGCGUUUCGGCGCGUAAAGCCCUAUCGGCAGGGAAGAAGGAGGACGGUACCUGACUAAGAAGCCCCGGCUAACUACGUGCCAGCAGCCGCGGUAAUACGUAGGGGGCAAGCGUUAUCCGGAUUUAUUGGGUUUAAAGGGUGCGCAGGCGGAGGUGCAAGUCAGCGGUCAAAUUGCGGGGCUCAACCCCGUACUGCCGUUGAAACUGCAUCCCUUGAGUGCGCGAGAAGUAUGCGGAAUGCGUGGUGUAGCGGUGAAAUGCAUAGAUAUCACGCAGAACACCGAUUGCGAAGGCAUCUCACGAAUCCGCGAUUGACGCUGAUGCACGAAAGCGUGGGUAUCAAACAGGAUUAGAUACCCUUGUAGUC
rnacentral:rRNA from 1 species